GGAACAGAUGCCCUUGGGGAGGAAGCUACACAAUAGGGACCCACGUGACAUGGGGGAGGUGGUAUCCUACUUCCUUGAGUCCAGCCCCAGGUCUUUCCGGCAUUGGCUUGACCAGCUGUUGACAGUGAUGGUCCUACUAGUCUGUCUGGUGGUCUGGGCUUUCACUCUGCCAGUAACGGAGAGCCCUGGAAGAGUCCUGGCCCCUUGAAGCUUUCCUUCACUUGAUGACCCCACUGUGAGCCAGAGGGAUUUCUUCUAUAUUUCUUGCUGGGCCAGUGAUUGAUAUCAUAUGGCCUAAGCUCGCCCUGAGCUGACAGGAAUGGUAAAGUAAGUAGCCGUACCAGGCCAGGCCCAGACCGAAGAUGAGCAGUAGAGCUACCAGACCCCGCAGCCGGCGGGGGAGGGCGCCACCCCCAGGGGAGCUGGACCCUGUGGUGGAGAGCACUGAAGAGACAGACACCUGGGAAUCAGCGUUGGGUCAGAGCAAGCCCCCAAGCUGCCCCAGGAAGAAUCACUGGCAGAGCACCUGAUCACCACUGCAGAGCCCAGCAGCCAAAGCAACUGUCUACAGCCGGACACACCCAGGUAGGACUGGGCUGGGGUGGCGAGGGCAGAAAGGUAUGCAAGGGCUACUCACACCUCCUAUCCUAUCUUACUGCUCUGAGUUCCAACUUUACAGUGAGGCAGCUGGGUUAUAGGCUUUCUAAAGUUUCUACCAGCUCUGACUUUGCGUACUCUAUUCCAAGGUUUCUUUCCAGCUUUGCCAUUUCAUGUUCUAAAGGUCCUCCCAGCUCUGACAUUCUUUCUUCUAAGGGCUCCCCCAUAUCCCCCAUAUUGUGUGUUCUAAGGGUCCUCCCAGCUCUGAUAUUCUAUAUUCUAAGGCCCUUCCUAGCUCUUGACUCAGAAAAAAUUUUUACUCUUUUUGAAUGAUUUGUAAUUGUUAAAUUUUUGCUUUUAAAAGAUAUAUUAUUGGUCAUUUCUCUGAUUAUUUAAUUGCAGAAUCUCAGCUGUUGAAGGACCUUUGAAGGUUAACAGGUCCAACUUUUACCCGGUGCUGAGUGAUCCCUUUAAACGCAAGACCCUCAUACAAGACUACACAACUAGUAGUGAUUAAACACACAGACACAGACACAUACACACACACACACACACACACACACACACACAUACACACACUCUGUUCUGGGCCCUGGAAGAGAUACCAGGUUUUGAUAAGAAGUCUCUGCCUUCAUGGAGCCCAUGAUACAGAAAGGGACAACUCAACCAUAGGUAGUUGUAACAGGGAAAGGCAUGGCAACGGGACCUGGGAUUUUAUAUGUGCAGGUAACACUGGCUGAGGAACUUCCUUUACCAACACACAUGGGGCAACUUCUUGGCUAUUUGUCAUCCUGAAGAGUUCCCUGGAGCACUGAGAAGUUCAGUGAUUUUCAUGGAGGCUCAGAGCCAGGAUGUGCAAGAGACAGGGCCGUGACUCAGGUCUCCACAGUCAGCUUACCUUCUGUCUGCUAUACCACCAGGCCUCUAGUGGGCCAAUAAGUAAACACAAGUUGGUAGAGUCUUAGUAUAUGUGUGAAUAAAUAUACAUAUAUGUGUGUGUGUGUGGUGUGU
rnacentral:lncRNA from 1 species